AAGAAGCCAAGCCAGAGUAGACUAUCAUCCUUUUAGGAAAACGUGUAGGUAUUUUUGGUCAUUCCUCAACACCAAGGCCAUGGCCGAAAGUUGCCACUGAAAUUUUCAAGUGAAUUCUCAGCUCCAAAUUUCGGCUGAUUUUCAGUUUUCCCUGAUAAGGAACCAUAUUGCUUGAAUAAUUUGCGGCAUUCUGAUUUUUAGACAAGAAUUUGGAGUUGGUCAAUUAGACAAGAAUUUGGAGCUCAUAGGAGUGUUAGGAAUAUGGACCUUGUGCAUUCAGAACCAACCGGUUAGAUUCGAAUACGGUACCACAAGAUCCUGAUUAAUCACUGUUUUCGAGGUCACUUGGGGGUGGAUCCCCACAUGACCAAAGCCUGUUUUGAGUACAAACCUCCCCACUAAUAACAAACCAGGCCGCCAUUUAAAACUACUGGGAGGUUUUCUAAAAAAAAUGGGGGCAGUUUUUAUAAAAAAACAGGGCAUUUGUUCUGGCCACAACAAAAAUUCAAAAAAAAUAUAAAAUUUUAAAAUAUAAGGGAUCGGUUUUUAACGUGUUUUUUGAGUUGUGGCCAUGAGUACAUAUUUUUACAAUUUUUUCAAUUUUUUUAGAAAAUUUUGAAAAUAUACUUGGGCAGAAGAAAUAGAUUUUUUAAAAUAUAUUUUUUUUCACCACGUUUUAACUUUAUUUGGAUUUUCUUUAUUUAAUCAUGCUUUUAAUAUAGUUUUUAUAUUCUUUUUAGAUUUUUUUCAUUUUUUAACACUUCUUGGUCCGGCAGGGAUAGACCGGUUGAACCCGUUUUCAGUAGCCGAUUUGAUUUUGUCUUAACACUGGCUCAGGCGGAACAAAUAUAGUUUAAUUGGUAAUAGAAAAUAAUGUCCAAAAUUUGGCGGGUUGUGUAUGCAUGCAAGUUUGAAAGAAUGCUUCUGAAAGUCCGGGUUUGUGAUGACAG
rnacentral:lncRNA from 1 species